AACGCUAGCUACAGGCUUAACACAUGCAAGUCGAGGGGCAGCAUGAAUUUACUUCGGUAGAUUCGAUGGCGACCGGCGCACGGGUGCGUAACGCGUAUCCAACCUUCCCGUUACUCCGGGAUAGCCUUCCGAAAGGGAGAUUAAUACCGGAUGGUGUUCAAGUGGUGCAUAUUAUUUGAACUAAAGAUUUAUCGGUAACGGAUGGGGAUGCGUACCAUUAGAUAGUAGGCGGGGUAACGGCCCACCUAGUCGACGAUGGUUAGGGGUUCUGAGAGGAAGGUCCCCCACACUGGAACUGAGACACGGUCCAGACUCCUACGGGAGGCAGCAGUGAGGAAUAUUGGUCAAUGGUCGGAAGACUGGACCAGCCAAGUAGCGUGAAGGAUGACUGCCCUAUGGGUUGUAAACUUCUUUUAUACGCGAACAACCGCAGGUACGUGUACCUGUCUGCGUGUAGCGUAUGAAUAAGCAUCGGCUAACUCCGUGCCAGCAGCCGCGGUAAUACGGAGGAUGCGAGCGUUAUCCGGAUUUAUUGGGUUUAAAGGGAGCGUAGGUGGCCUGUUAAGCCAGCUGUGAAAUACUGUAGCUCAACUACAGCCGUGCAGUUGGAACUGGCGGGCUUGAGUGCACAAGAGGAAGGUGGAAUUCAUGGUGUAGCGGUGAAAUGUUUAGACAUCACGAAGAACUCCGAUUGCGAAGGCAGCAUACUAAGCCGCUACUGACGUUGAGGCUCGAAAGUGUGGGUAUCAAACAGGAUUAGAUACCCUGGUAGUCCACACGGUAAACGAUGAAUACUCGCUGUUGGCGAUAUAGUGUCAGCGGCCAAGCGAAAGCAUUAAGUAUUCCACCUGGGGAGUACGCCGGCAACGGUGAAACUCAAAGGAAUUGACGGGGGCCCGCACAAGCGGAGGAACAUGUGGUUUAAUUCGAUGAUACGCGAGGAACCUUACCCGGGCUUAAAUUACAGAGGACAGAUCCAGAGACGGAUCCUUCUUCGGACCUCUGUGAAGGUGCUGCAUGGUUGUCGUCAGCUCGUGCCGUGAGGUGUCGGCUUAAGUGC
rnacentral:rRNA from 1 species